rnacentral:rRNA from 1 species
CCUACGGGAGGCAGCAGUGAGGAAUAUUGGUCAAUGGCCGAGAGGCUGAACCAGCCAUGCCGCGUGCAGGAUGACGGCUCUAUGAGUUGUAAACUGCUUUUGUACGAGGGUAAACCCCGAUACGUGUAUCGGGUUGAAAGUAUCGUACGAAUAAGGAUCGGCUAACUCCGUGCCAGCAGCCGCGGUAAUACGGAGGCUCCGAGCGUUAUCCGGAUUUAUUGGGUUUAAAGGGUGCGUAGGCGGUUUGAUAAGUUAGAGGUGAAAGGUCGGGGCUCAACCCCGAAACUGCCUCUAAUACUGUUGGACUAGAGAAUAGUUGCGGUAGGCGGAAUGUAUGGUGUAGCGGUGAAAUGCUUAGAGAUCAUACAGAACACCGAUUGCGAAGGCAGCUUACCAAACUAUAUCUGACGUUGAGGCACGAAAGCGUGGGUAGCAAACAGGAUUAGAUACCCCUGUAGUC